ensembl:lncRNA
AUCUCUAUCUGGAGAUCACUCCUCUCGGAGCCCUUCCGCGAGCCCAGGACACGGCAGGUGGUGGUGGAGAGCUGUGACCCGUUCGAGCCUAGUGAGGAUGUUCACGGACACAGCAGGAACCCACACCCACAGGCUGGAAAUGUACGCCUGAUUGGUUCUAUGGUGACCCAAAUGCCAUGUAGGAAGGUUUGGCCAAGUGUGGUGGGAAAGGAAGAGGACUGGGGACGCCAGCACCAGAUGCCGUUGCACUUCCUGACCUCCCUGGGUGGCAGCGUUGGAAGUGCCUGGACCCUUGGAAAGGGCUAAGUGAUUCCUUCAUCAUUACCAGAAUGUAGUUUGUGUUCAAGAGGAGACGGUGGAGAACUGUGGCCUUUUGAUCAGUGCAAAGCGUCUACUGAGGCUCUAGGUGGAGAGAACGGGAACGCAGAGCCAUAGGCGGAUGCCAAGAUCCGCUCCUUCCUCUGCCUGGCAAGCUAUGUUGAUCCCUGAGGUUGUUUCCAUGCUUGCAGGUGUCCUAUGCGCUUGGUGUCGGUUGUUCCUUGCGCUCACUUGGCUUUCACCGAGUGUUGUUGCCUUACAACAUUUUUCCCACCCUCUAUUUCCAAGCAGGAGCUCCCCUUGGCCUCCAUGUCUCGCUCUGGCCAGGCAGAUGUGGUGUGCCAACGGUACGCAGAGUCCAGACCCUGAGCAGAAGAGCAACUGAGGAGAGAGGCUGCCCUGGGUGAGACAGGAGAAGUGCCCCUUGAAGCGGGGGACGCCCCGCUGGUGCUGCCUCUCGCAUCCACCGGCAGCGCGUUCCUUCUCUCUCCUUGCCGCCCGGCGCUUUGCCGUCUCCCAGGGCUCGCCAAGUCCAAAUGUUGCCUGAUGGAGUCCAACUCCGGCUUGACCAACACUCACCCCAUCUGUCCCCGCACCAGCUGGCUUAGGGCUCCCCAGCACUGCUGGCUGUCGGUGCCUGCUGUCGCUCCCAGUCAGCAUGGCUCUGUUCCUUGCUUUUGGGGUUCCAGAGCUGUUUGCUGUUUGCUACGGUUAUGGAGUGUUUCUCUUCUCUCUCUUCUUC